AUUGAACGCUGGCGGCAUGCUUUACACAUGCAAGUCGGACGGCAGCGGGGUAGUGCUUGCACUACUGCCGGCGAGUGGCGAACGGGUGAGUAAUAUAUUGGAACGUACCGAGUAAUGGGGGAUAACCAAUCGAAAGAUUGGCUAAUACCGCAUACGCUCUGAGGAGGAAAGCAGGGGACCUUCGGGCCUUGCGUUAUUCGAGCGGCCAAUAUCUGAUUAGCUAGUUGGUGGGGUAAAGGCCUACCAAGGCGACGAUCAGUAGCGGGUCUGAGAGGAUGAUCCGCCACACUGGGACUGAGACACGGCCCAGACUCCUACGGGAGGCAGCAGUGGGGAAUUUUGGACAAUGGGCGCAAGCCUGAUCCAGCCAUGCCGCGUGUCUGAAGAAGGCCUUCGGGUUGUAAAGGACUUUUGUCAGGGAAGAAAAGGGCGGGGUUAAUACCUCUGUCUGAUGACG
rnacentral:rRNA from 1 species